CGGGACACGUGGUAUCCUGUCUGAAUAUGGGGGGACCAUCCUCCAAGGCUAAAUACUCCUGACUGACCGAUAGUGAACCAGUACCGUGAGGGAAAGGCGAAAAGAACCCCGGCGAGGGGAGUGAAAAAGAACCUGAAACCGUGUACGUACAAGCAGUGGGAGCCUCUUUAUGGGGUGACUGCGUACCUUUUGUAUAAUGGGUCAGCGACUUAUAUUCUGUAGCAAGGUUAACCGAAUAGGGGAGCCGAAGGGAAACCGAGUCUUAACUGGGCGUUAAGUUGCAGGGUAUAGACCCGAAACCCGGUGAUCUAGCCAUGGGCAGGUUGAAGGUUGGGUAACACUAACUGGAGGACCGAACCGACUAAUGUUGAAAAAUUAGCGGAUGACUUGUGGCUGGGGGUGAAAGGCCAAUCAAACCGGGAGAUAGCUGGUUCUCCCCGAAAGCUAUUUAGGUAGCGCCUCGUGAAUUCAUCUCCGGGGGUAG
rnacentral:rRNA from 1 species